UUUGAAAAAACUGCAGAAAAAAAGAAAAAAGUUAGAACGUGAGAGAGAGAAAGAGGAGAAAAGUAAAAAGCAGAGUUGAUUUGACCCUCACUAUUCAUCAUCUCCCCAAGCUCGCUGCUCACCCUCUGUUCCGCUCCGCGAAGCCCGACGCUCCACCCUCCGCGAGCAGGCCCGAGCCGUGCUACAGCCGAGCCGCCUUCCCCACGCCGACGUAGCCGCCGGUCUCCGUCCACGAGCCCCGACGACCCGCGCCACCACGACGCCGAGCCUCGGUGCGCCUCCUUCGCGAGCAACCCGCGACGCCAGCCCAGUCGUCCGCGACUCUCCCUGCCGACGCCGCUCCGGCCCUGCUCUGCCACUCGCCUGCGAUUGCCCAGCAGAUCUUGCCUUUGCUCGCCGUCCGUGAAGCCCGACGCCGACGGAUUUGAGACCCUCGCAGCAACCGCGACCCGAACGCCUUUGCUUCGCCUUACCGUCGCCAAUCUGCAGUACCAGAAGUCCCGGCGUCCCUGCUCGCCUCCGCCUGACGCCCAGCCGACGCCGUGCCGUUGCCCCGAGGCCUAGCGAUCCGACGCUCUUGCUGCCCAAGUACUGACACUUGAGUUGCUCUGCCGUGCCGCAACCCGGAGUCCUCUGCUCGUGGCCCACUGUCCAGAUCUCGCGAUCCCGGCGGCCUGCUGCCACCCAAGUCCUUGCGACGACCCACGACGCCUGUAGCAGCCCUCCGCCGAGUCGGUCUCCGCCCCUGCACGCCGUUCCGAGCUUGCUCCCUGUCCGAGCGACGCCGCUGUAGCACCUGUGACCAGCUGCUGCAGCUGUGUCCACCAGCCACCGAGUCCCUUCGCCGGAGCUCCGACCACCGUGACUUCCUUUGACGGUGACCCACCACACAGCCACUGCCUUUGCUGGAGUUUCCCCUGCCGGACCUCCGAUCCUCUGCUUUGGUGACUUGCCACGAACACGAAGCAGCAGAGGUGACUUGCCACGAACACGAAGCUUGGAAGGAAAAGGGAAAAUUAGGUAGUUUUUAUUUAUUUAUUUACUUACUGUUUUCUUUUUCUUUCCUUUUUAUUUUAUUCUUUUAGUGAAAUUGUUCUCUUUAAAUAUGUGAUUGAGAUCCCAAUAUGAAAGUGCCCCUCAAGCUAGGGAUUGACAGUCCGAUUUUCGCG
rnacentral:lncRNA from 1 species